rnacentral:rRNA from 1 species
ACAUACCCUAUAGAUUGGGAUAACUCCGGGAAACCGGGGCUAAUACCGAAUAAUCUCUUUUGCUUCAUGGUGAAAGACUGAAAGACGGUUUCGGCUGUCGCUAUAGGAUGGGCCCGCGGCGCAUUAGCUAGUUGGUGAGGUAACGGCUCACCAAGGCGACGAUGCGUAGCCGACCUGAGAGGGUGAUCGGCCACACUGGGACUGAGACACGGCCCAGACUCCUACGGGAGGCAGCAGUAGGGAAUCUUCCACAAUGGGCGAAAGCCUGAUGGAGCAACGCCGCGUGAGUGAAGAAGGUUUUCGGAUCGUAAAACUCUGUUGUAAGGGAAGAACAAGUACAGUAGUAACUGGUUGUACCUUGACGGUACCUUAUUAGAAAGCCACGGCUAACUACGUGCCAGCAGCCCGCGGUAAUACGUAGGUGGCAAGCGUUGUCCGGAAUUAUUGGGCGUAAAGCGCGCGCAGGCGGUCCUUUAAGUCUGAUGUGAAAGCCCACGGCUCAACCGUGGAGGGUCAUUGGAAACUGGGGGACUUGAGUGCAGAAGAGGAAAGUGGAAUUCCAAGUGUAGCGGUGAAAUGCGUAGAGAUUUGGAGGAACACCAGUGGCGAAGGCGACUUUUCUGGUCUGUAACUGACGCUGAGGCGCGAAAGCGUGGGGAGCAAACAGUAUUAGAUACCCUGUUAGUACACGCCGUAAACGAUGAGUGCUACGUGUUGGGGGGGUUUCCGCCCCUUAGUGCUGCAGCUAACGCAUUAAGCACUCCGCCUGGAGAGUACGGUCGCAGGACUGAAACUCAAAGGUAAUAGACGCGCGCCCGC